rnacentral:misc_RNA from 1 species
CGUCUUGCCUUCUGCCUUUGUUGUUGAUUUGCUCCAUGGGCACAAUAAAAGGCCCAAAUGGGGUCAACGCUAGUCGCUUGCUGUUGAAAUCCUCGAGUAAAAUUUCCUCGCCAAAUUUUGUACAUUCUCGAUCUAUCUCCGCUACUGCCCCCACUAAACAACACUGCAAUCCUAUUUGCACUCCCAUGUCCUUUUCAACAAGUGUCCCGGCCCACCAGACAAGGAUGCCAACAAAGUCAAAUUUCGAAGGAGGUAAUCUACUAAUCUCUCGCCCUCGUCGUCAGUCGCAGAUGCCUCUCAUAGCAGCUGCUGUUGUCGCCACUAACUGCUUAACGAUAUUGCAAUGCCUGCAUAUGCCUCUUGCUGAUCAAUACCAUCACCACGAUUUCUCUCUCUGCUUAUUUCGUGUAUUUUCAAUUUCUCCCACUGCUUAUUCUUUGUCUUGUAUUUUUAAAAUUGCCAUUCCCUGUAGAAAUAUGGUUCCUUUCCCCGUCAAGACCACUAUCCAUGUUAAAG